UACAGAGGUCUCAAGCGUUGUUCGGAUUCAUUGGGCGUAAAGGGUGUGUAGGUGGCGCCGUAAGUCGGGUGUGAAAUUUCGGAGCUUAACUCCGAAACUGCAUUCGAUACUGCCGUGCUUGAGGACUGGAGAGGAGACUGGAAUUUACGGUGUAGCGGUGAAAUGCGUAGAUAUCGUAAGGAAGACCAGUGGCGAAGGCGGGUCUCUGGACAGUUCCUGACGCUGAGGAGCGAAAGCCAGGGGAGCAAACGGG
rnacentral:rRNA from 1 species